GGCCCAGUGGCUCAGUUGGUUAGAGUGCCGGCCUGUCACGCCGGAGGUCGAGGGUUCGAAUCCCUUCUGGGUCGCCA
rnacentral:tRNA from 1 species